UACAGAGGGUGCGAGCGUUAAUCGGAAUUACUGGGCGUAAAGCGUGUCGCAGGACGUAUGUAAGUCGGGUGUGAAAGCCCCGGGCUCAACCUGGGAAUUGCAUUCGAGACUGUGUGGCUAGGGUGCGGAAGAGGGAAGCGGAAUUUCCGGUGUAGCGGUGAAAUGCGUAGAUAUCGGAAGGAACACCAGUGGCGAAAGCGGCUUCCUGGUCCAGCACCGACGUUCAGGCA
rnacentral:rRNA from 1 species